UGGUGGAGUGAUUUGUCUGGUUAAUUCCGUUAACGAACGAGACCCCUGCCUGCUAAAUAGUUUGCCGAGUGAUCUCACUGGGUAGAGCUUCUUAGAGGGACGUGCAUACGACUAGUUGCAGGAAGAUAGGGGCAAUAACA
rnacentral:rRNA from 1 species